UCCAAGCUUGCACGUCAUUACCUGAAAUAACGGUAUAAUUACUCAAAUUAAAACUUGCCAAUUAAAUCAAAGCUAAUCCACCUCAUAAUUCCUCAGCUUCCAUGUUUACCUUCACCUCUAUUUUUCCAACUCUUCUUCUCUUUGAUUAUUUACCAAACUAUCACAACACAUAAUCAAAUCCAUUAAACUACUAUACUUUCUUAAAUCACUACCUUAUAAAUAUAUAACCUCUUUACACAACUUAAUCCAUUCAUUAUGCAAUCCCUUUAUUCCUUUUUUAAUUUCCAUACAGUAGAACAUUUUUUUGUUUACGAAGCCCGAUUUAUUUAUAGAAUAUGUUCUUCUUCCACAUUCAUUUCCCUACUACAUUAGCACAAUAACAUACUUCCUUCCAACAUCUUGUAUCUACACUUUCCAUCCUGUCCCUUUUCAUUGCUACUGUAAUAAUAAAAUUAAUUAAAUAAAAAAUUUACCACAUUUAAGCUAGAUUUAAUUCCAAUUAAACACUAUUUCAUCUCUUUCUUCACCAGUUUACAACUUCCCACACUUGCAUCAAGCUAUGUAAUUAGGUAUGUCCCCUUUUUAAUAAUUUCAGUCACUAUACACAUACAUAUACAGGUACCAAACAAAUCAUUAAUUGACAAUUUCUCACUUGCCUUUUGGUUUCUUUAUUUAAAUUUCAAUUCUAACCCAACUACUAGCUGAAUUUCCGUCCACAAAGUUC
rnacentral:lncRNA from 1 species